GUGUCAGCCGCCGCGGUAAUACGUAGGCAGCGAGCGUUGUUCGGAAUUACUGGGCGUAAAGAGUGUGUAGGUGGUGCUCUAAGUUUGGUGUGAAAUCUCCCGGCUCAACCGGGAGGGUGCAUCGAAAACUGGAGUGCUAGAGGAUGGGAGAGGCAAGCGGAAUUCCUGGUGUAGCGGUGAAAUGCGUAGAUAUCAGGAGGAACACCUGUGGUGUAGACAGCUUGCUGGACCAUUUCUGACACUGAGACACGAAAGCGUGGGUAGCAAACAGGAUUAGAAACCCCAGUAGUCC
rnacentral:rRNA from 1 species